rnacentral:rRNA from 1 species
GUAACGGGGAAUUAGGGUUCGAUUCCGGAGAGGGAGCCUGAGAAACGGCUACCACAUCCAAGGAAGGCAGCAGGCGCGCAAAUUACCCAAUCCCGACACGGGGAGGUAGUGACAAUAAAUAACAACACAGGGCUCUUUUGGGUCUUGUUAUUGGAAUGAGUACGAUUUAAAUCUCCUAACGAGGAACAAUUGGAGGGCAAGUCUGGUGCCAGCAGCCGCGGUAAUUCCAGCUCCAAUAGCGUAUAUUAAAGUUGUUGCAGUUAAAAAGCUCGUAGUUGAAUUUCAGGCCUGGCUGGACGGUCCGCCCUUCGGGUGAGUACUGUCUGUGGUCGGGUCCUACCUUCUGGCGAAGCGUCAUGGCCUUAACCGGCUGUGGCGGGGAACCAGGACUUUUACUGUGAAAAAAUUAGAGUGUUCAAAGCAGGCAAUCGCUUGGAUACAUUAGCAUGGAAUAAUGGAAUAGGACAAUGGUUCUAUUUGUUGGUUUCUAGGACCGUUGUAAUGAUUAAUAGGGAUAGUUGGGGGCAUUAGUAUUCAAUUGUCAGAGGUGAAAUUCUUGGAUUUAUUGAAGACUAACUACUGCGAAAGCAUUUGCCAAGGAUGUUUUCAUUAAUCAAGAACGAAAGUUAGGGGAUCGAAGACGAUCAGAUACC